rnacentral:rRNA from 1 species
GACAGUGGCGAAAGGGUGAGUAACACGUGAGUAUCUACCUCCAGGUCGGGAACAGCCCGCGGGGACGCGGAUUAAUGCCCGAUGGUCCCUUCGGGGUAAAGAGGAAUCGCCCGGAGACGAGCUCGCGGCCCAUCAGCUUGUUGGCGGGGUAACGGCCCACCAAGGCGACGACGGGUAGGUGGUCUGAGAGGAUGGUCACCCACACUGGGACUGAGAUACUGCCCAGACUCCUACGGGAGGCUGCAGUCGAGAAUCAUCCGCAAUGGGCGAAAGCCUGACGGUGCAAUGCCGCGUGGGGGAUGAAGGCCUUCGGGUCGUAAACCCCUGUCAGAGGGGACGAAAAACAUGACGGUACCCUCAGAGGAAGCCACGGCUAACUACGUGCCAGCAGCCGCGGUAAUACGUAGGUGGCGAGCGUUAUUCGGAUUUACUGGGCGUAAAGGGUCCGCAGGGGGUUUGCCGAAGUCCGAUGUGAAAGUCCGCAGCUCAACUUGCGGAACUGCGUCGGAUACUGGUGAACUUGAGUGCGCGAAGGGCCGAGCGGAAAUUCCAGGUGUAGCGGUGGAAUGCGUAAGAUAUCUGGAAAGAACACCGGCGGCGAAAGCGGUUCGUUGGCGCGGCCACUGACCCUCAUGUACGAAAGCGUGGGGAGCGAACAGGAUAAGAUACCCUUGGUAGUCCACGCCGUAACCGGUGCAGACGCGAUGCGGGGGGCGGUCCCCUCCGUGUCUAAGCCAACGCGUGUAAGUCUGCCGCCUGGGGACUACGGCCGCAAGGCGUAAAUUCAAAGGAAUUGACGGGGGCCGCACAAACGGUGGAGCAUGUGGCUUAAUUCGAGGCAACGCGAAGACCUUACCCGGGCUUGACAUAGUCCGGACCGCCUGUGAAAGCAGGGUUUCCUGUCGGGGAACGGUAUACAGGUGCUGCAUGGCUGUCGUCAGCUCGUGCCGUGAGGUGUUCGGUUAAGUCCGGCAACGAGCGCAACCCGUAUCGUCAGUGGCCAUCACGUAAUGCUGGGCACUCUGGCGAGACUGCCCCUGUCAACCGGGAGGAAGGCGCGGACGACGUCAAGUC